rnacentral:rRNA from 1 species
ACGGGAGGCAGCAGUCGGGAAUUUUGCGCAAUGGAGGAAACUCUGACGCAGUGACGCCGCGUGCAGGAAGAAGGUUUUCGGAUUGUAAACUGCUUUAGAUAGGGAAGAAAAAAGACAGUACCUAUAGAAUAAGCUCCGGCUAACUACGUGCCAGCAGCCGCGGUAAUACGUAGGGAGCAAGCGUUAUCCGGAUUUAUUGGGUGUAAAGGGUGCGUAGACGGGAAAAUAAGUUAGUUGUGAAAUCCCUCGGCUUAACCGAGGAACUGCAACUAAAACUGUUUUUCUUGAGUGCUGGAGAGGAAAGUGGAAUUCCUAGUGUAGCGGUGAAAUGCGUAGAUAUUAGGAGGAACACCAGUGGCGGAGGCGACUUUCUGGACAGUAACUGACGUUGAGGCACGAAAGUGUGGGGAGCAAACAGGAUUAGAUACCCUGGUA